UGACUAAUGAAUCGAAAGCUAAGAACAUAGGUGGGAGGAGUCUCAACAUUGUUUCAUAACUUCUGUUUCUCCGGGAUAACACAGUAUGAGAUGGCUAGCACUAGUCAAGGUUUCAAGUGACUCUACCAGUGCCAUUUGUUUCUUGUUGCCUUUCAAAAUAUUUUUUUUCUUUCUGCCCUUGAGGAGAUUAUAACAUCCUGCAUUUCAGUCUCUGAGAGUUUAUUGAAUUAUCUUCCUACUCAAACAUAGCAAGUGAUUUCUGCAUCUCUGAAGAAGACCUCAAGAUCUGGACUACUGUGGAAGAAAUUUCCAGUGAGGUCAUCCAUAACUUGAGAGAUGCAAAGUGAAUUCAAGAAAAUCAUUCUGCUGAAAGGAUUAGAGCCCAUCAAUGAAUAUCAGUUUAGCAUGGUUAAGUUUUUAUUGGCUUCUGAUUUAAAACUGACUAGAAAAGCUCAAAACGAAUAUAAUAGAAUUCAGAUUGCUGAUUUGAUGACAGAAAAUUUUCCAAGGGCUACCUGUGUUGAUAAACUAAUAGAAUUGUACAAAGACAUAGCAGAACUUAAGCAGCUUGCUAAAACUCUUAAAAAUGAAAAGUUAAAAGUUAUAAGCAGAUGGAAAGCAAGAGGAACAACUCCAGUGAAAAAAAGCAAGCAGGAUAAAUCUACAUGCACCAUGAAUAAAGCUUUGGGACCUGAAUUGAUCACCUAUAUGCCUGUGAUGAAGAAAAAGAAGAACAAAAGCAUAAAAACUGAAGAAUCUAAGAUGCAGCUAACCCAGGAACAGAGUCAGCUUCCAGAACCUUCAGGAACCAGCACACUGUCAACUGAGAGCCAUCCCCAGACUCCUCAGGUGUCUCCACCAACCCCACCCAGCACUUCCUCAACCAAGAAAAGUAAUGGCAUGACCAUAAAAACUAAUAACUCCAAAAAGAUGCUAUCCCCAAAACAAAGUCAGCUUCGGGAAACUUCAGCAACAAGCUCAUGCCCAUCGGAGCUCCGUCCCCAGACUCCUCAGAUGCUUCUACCAGUCCCAUCCAGCACUUCCUCAAACAAGAAAAGGAAAGACACCAUCACUAAAACUGAUGACUCCAAGAGAAUGAAACUAUUCUGGGAGCAGAGUCAGCUUCCAGAAGCUCCAACAACCAGCACAUGCCCAACUGAGGGCUGUCGCCAGAUGCCUCAGAUGCCACCACCAACCCCAUCCAGCAGUUCCUUAAUCAAGAAACCAAGAUUGAAGGCUGUACCUAAAGAAGCUUCCAGAGAAGAAGGUUUCCAGAGGGGCCCCAAAGAAGUGAUGGUACUGAAAGCAACAGAACCAUUUGCAUAUGCUGUCAGCAAAGGGGAGAGAAAAAUGUUUCACGCCACAGUAGCUGCUGACAACCAGUUCUUCCAAGUGAAGGUUUUUGAUGUCAACCUGAAGGAGAAGUUCAUUCCAAAGAAAGUCAUUGCUAUAUCAGACUAUAUUGGCCGCAAUGGGUUUCUGGAGGUGUACAAUGCCUCAUCUGUGUCUGAUGUUAAUGCUGACCGAAAGAUGGAGAUCUCAAAAAGCUUGAUUGCAAAUGCAAAUGCAACUCCUAAAAUCAAUCGUCUGUACUUGCAAGCUCCAGGAACAUUUGUGAAUGGGGUAUAUCAGGUGCAUAAGAAAACGGUUAGGAAUCAAUUCGUUUAUUAUGAAAUAAAAGAUAAUACAGGGAAGAUAGAAGUCAGGAUGUAUGGACGACUGGCCCAAAUCAACUGUGAGAAAGGCGAUAAACUUAAACUAACUUGCUUUGAAUUGGCAUUAAGUGAGAAGAAGUGGCAGCUGAGAUCUGUAAUUCACAGUUUCGUCAAGGUGGGAACUUCUGGGGGAACAUCAUCCUUCUAAAGUAGAAGACUUUCAGAAAACUAAACUGCUGCUAUUACUCAAAGAAUCAAACAGGUCAUCAAGGCCAGGAAAAGUAAGAGACGACCACGCAAUCCUUAUUCAUAUAUGAAAACCUCACUAGAGUUCUCCUAAAAACCUGGAUGCCAUUAAUAAUGAUGUUUAUGGAGUUAAGAUCUAAGCACAGAAAGAAAUAUAUAUGGUUGACAUACAGCAAUGUAUAUGCCAGCUAUUAAUUCUAUCAAUGGGGUGUUACAGGUGCUUUUUGUUUUCUUUUUUAUAUUUUUCUGUGCCAAUUCAAUGCCAUAUUUUAUAUCUAUAUUAUUUAUAAUUCCCCCCAAAAUAAUAAAAGUUAUUUUUUCUCUAAAGGAGUGUUUCCUCAGGAGUCUAAUUCAUUGAUGAUGUGGCCUGCACAUCAGGGUGGAAUACACAGGCCCCAAGCAAUAUUUGGGCUUAUACUUUGGGUGUGAUCUUUACAGGAUAAGGCUCUGAUCAAGAAUGGACUGGUUGAACAGACUGUGCUGUGCUCAAAGAAACCCAGCAAGGCAACAAACAGGGACUGAAAUCCAGUCUGACCUUCAAUUGCCAAACCCUGUGUCAGCGUUGCUUUAGUCCAGAACAAUAAAUAUCUUUUCAGAAUUGGUCUCCUGAA